GUCAGGUCUUGGAUGGCUUGUUUAUGUUGCUAAUUGUACAGACUGAUUUCUAUAGGCCAUGGGGAUAAUUUUCCGAAAAUAUGAGUGAUAUUACAUGGAGCCUUUGGACACAUCAGUAUGGUAGAUGUAUUUGAAGUGGACAUGCUGGAGAGAGAGUGUGGAGAAGCAAAUUGAUGCAGAGAUAUAAGCUUUCACUGCCACUCCUAAUGUGGUGAGACAUUGCUGGAGGCACAGGCUGCAGAUCACUGAAUAAUGUAAUUAUCGUCUGUUGUCUGGGCUCUUAACUCCCACUGAACACCAAGGCUGCCAAAAGUGAUGACUCACAGAUGCUUCCUGCCCUUGAACAUCGACCUCCAAGUUCUUCAGCCUUGGGACUCACACUGGCUUCCUUGCUCCUCAGCUUGCAUAUGGACUAUUGUGGGACCUCACCUUGUGAUCGUUAGAAGUGUCGCCAUAUGACCGAGUGGAAAUUGAAGCUUGGACACAUUAUAAUACAAAG
rnacentral:lncRNA from 13 species